AGUCACAGGCCUUAGGAAAUCUGCUAGCUCAAGAGCUGCUUCUGAAGAGACACAGCACUGCUGCUACAGAUUAGUGACAAAAAUGAAUCCAUCUCUGGAAACACAAGUGUGUCCAGAAGAACUGAAACUGCUGGCAGUAAUUUAGCCAUUUAUCAAAGGGGAUGUUGGUCUUUGUCUAGUCUCCAUAAGGUUUCUCUCACUCAUUUUCAGUGCUAAAUUUUUCCAACACUGAGGGAUGGAAAACCAUCUGACCCCAAUCACAUAUGUUGAGAGGCUUCCCUGCAGCCUAUAAGAAACAAUCUGACUUCCUCUUUAGUUGGUGCAUUAAAAAAUGAGAGUUCACCUGAAUUUAAAGGAUAUGUAAAGAUUUUUUUUCUUCAGUUAUGUCUCUGGCUCUGAAAUUUGUAUGCAAUCCCACUAAGUGAUGCAUCUGUAAAGCAAAUGUCAUCUUAGAUAUGAAGAUGUAAUGUCUGUAGAGAGCCAUUUAUUUUCUAUCCCUUAAAUCCAGAUUACCACAUUAAAAAGAUAUUAAUGGGAAAACUGACUAUGCUUAAGAACCAAAUAGAACAGAUCCACAUUUUACCAAAGUUUCUUGAUUGACAUUAAAAACAAACAAAAUUAACAAAAUUAACUAAUUGUUGAAAUCUGAAUUUUGACUGCCACUGAAUGCAAAAAGAAAUGCUGAUCUGCUGUUUGGCUGGUACCAUGUCCUAAAGUAAGGCAUAGAUAGGCUACAAAUGCACAGGCACUUUCUGUCCCAUCCUUUGGGUGGAUUAAGUUGAAAAGCAUUGCUUGAUGAUUCCUGUAAGGACACAGUUGCCUUCUAGACUGAGGGACACAGGCAGCUGGGAACAGUUCAUCACGGGGAAUGGCUGAAUCAGCAGCAUCAUGAGGAGCAUCGUGUGAGGCUCUGUCAAACAUGUCAGUGCAGAAUACAGUUACAGGGAAAUUAAGCUUGGAAGGAACUGUUGAAGGUCGUUAUUUUAAUCUUCGUGUUCAAAUCAUAGCUAUGAUCAAAUUUGGAUCAGGACAAUUAUUUUGAUAGUUCUGUUGGGAAAAUAAGUGAAUAUAAAGUGAAAAUUCUAAUAAAAUUCCACUAUUUCCUUUAACACAUUCCUGGUGAGAACACUGAAUAAAGAACAUUUUAAACAGGGGGCAGUGAACUGACCUAUCAUGUUUUAACCUGCAUAAUGAUAUUUUAGAGGCCCUUGUGAACAUAUUAGAAAGGGGAAGCUUGCCAAAGGCUAUCUGGGCAUUGUACUUUGAGAAGAUGGAUUUAUUGAAAAAUUUUAUUCUAAUUAGUAUGCUAAAGACAACUUGAGAUGUUGUAAAUAUUGUUGACAUGCUUCACUGACAAUAGACUAACACUCAUAAGAGUUUCUUCAUGGUAUGGGAAAAUUAAUUUGGCUAUCAGUGUUUGGCAGCUGGAUGUGAAGCUGCUCAGAUUACAAGCCAAAGAAGCAGUAAAAAAUGGGUACUGCUAUCAUGUGACAUAAAAACAAAUUUUCUGCUGAAAGCAAGAAAUACAUGAAUGUUCCUGUAAAAGUUUAUACCAUUAUGAGGCAAUUGCAACUCCUCUGCUUGGACCUCAUUCUAACAUAACUUGUGAGAACAAUUCUGCUGUUUUUGUGCUGCAAAGAUGCAUUUGAUUAGUUGCAGAGAGCAGUUCUCUCAAAGCUGCUCUCUUACUCUGUUUUAUUGGAUAUUUCCUCUUUUUGGGAAUCUGCUAGACAGUAGUGAUGUUUUUCUGUUGUGUUUAUGUAAGAUGCUUGUUCUCAGAUAAUACAGGAAGACUAAUAGUGUUUAAAAUAUGAGUUCUUUAUAAGUGCAUAGGUAAAACCCGAUUUUAUAUCCAUUACAGUUGUCUUCUUGAUAGCUGUAUAAACCUUUAUAGAAGUUAGUAUUACAUGAUGACAACAACCUAGCAAAUCUCUUAUAAAAUAAGAGAUGUAUAAUUUAUAAAUUAUAAAUUGAACCUGGCACUGUUCAAAACAAAGUCAGUGGUCUAGAACAUGGAAAAAGUUUUGACUGGAUCUGUGAUUUGUCAUGCCAAGAUGGAUCCAUAGUAACUUGAUCAAUGGAUGCUCAUCAGCAGUGUCUACCAAGAGUCUUAGCGAUGUUUUCUGCAAUAUGUUUUCUGUUUUUCACUCACUAACAGAUCCCAGAAUGUGCCAUAACCAGCCCUGUGGAUGUACUGCACGUAGCAAACACUUUGCUGGGCCAACAUGAGAUACCUGCAGCUAGCCCUGAGGGGAGCAAGGGCAUCAGAUCUGCAACGAGAGCUUCAGUGACACCACAGUCAGAUACCACAGGCCUUGGUGAAUAGUCACAAACUCAAAAGACAGGAGAACAACAUCCUGAGAGAGAGAGGAGUCACACAUUUGCUGUGUCAGAAAAGAGGAGGUGUUAAAGAGAUACCGUUCAAUACCAUGGAGGAUUAAAUGCUUCCCACACAGCCAGACAUAACAAGACACAAAGCUACCUAGGGAAAGAACUAGUCUGUUCCUCUGAAUGAAACAUAAAAGACCUGAAUGGAGAGACAAUGAGAAGAAUGAAGGGAUGACGAAAAGCACGGGAGGAUUUCUUUGUGGGGUAUAGGAAGCAGAUGAACUGUGGGCAGCCAGCUGGAGCCAACAGAACAGCAAAGAAACAAAAGGUGGUGGUUCUUCACACAGCACAGAUCAAAGCUGCAGUGCUACAAGUUCACUGGAGUUCAAAGAUAGGCUUAGGAAGUCUGCUGAAUAAAUGUCCACAAAGCUUUAUUAAACACACAGAAACCAUCCCUGAUCCAAGAAACUCCUCAGCUGUGAUUGACUGAAUGCCAGAGAAUGUGUAGGACAAGUAUAGGCACACAUGGCUUGUUCUUUCAAUCUUCUCUAAACACCUGCUUGUGGCUGCUAUCAGAGACAAGAUACUGGGCUAAAAGUACUUUUUGAUCUGACUCAACAAUAGAACAUAAAAAAUAAGUCUGCCUAAAAACACAUCAUAUUUUUAGGCUCAAAAGUCAAAUAUAGGAAAAAUAAGACAUCAGCUUAUUUUAGAGUCUAUUAGCUUUACAUUCUAUUAAAUUCCAUAAAUAGAUACUUGUUUUAACUAAAAAAAAUGAUGCUACCAUUUUCUGCCAGUGAAAACACUUCAUUUAAUGGAGAAGUUAUCAUUAUUCACAGUCAUUUCUAAUAUUAUAUAGAAAUUCUAUAGAAACAACAGCUCAGAUUACAGAAUGAUAAAACAUAACCUGUACCUGAAGUUUGCAUAUCUUGCAUUUUUUCCAUACAGUAUAUUAUGUGUGUGUUUACUGUUUAUCUGUUAGUGUGGCUCUGUGUAGCAUCUCAGAAUGAAUCCUGACUA